rnacentral:sRNA from 1 species
UGACGAAAGAGAUCAGACAUUGGUCAGAG